UACGAAGGGGGCGAGCGUUGUUCGGAAUUACUGGGCGUAAAGGGCGCGCAGGCGGCCUCUUGAAGUCAGAUGUGAAAGCCCCGGGCUCAACCUGGGAAUGGCAUUUGAUACUCGAGGGCUUGAGUACGGGAGAGGAGAGUGGAAUUCCCAGUGUAGAGGUGAAAUUCGUAGAUAUUGGGAAGAACACCGGUGGCGAAGGCGGCUGAC
rnacentral:rRNA from 1 species